GACCGAUUAGGGUUGUAGAUACUUAAUAUAACCAUGGCUAUAAUCAUGGUUCUAUCUAUAACCAUGGCCAUAAAUUAAGAUCUAGAUUAUCUUGAUCCGUGACCAUGGCUAUUAAUAAUUAAAAAUGAAAAUUUAAUCUGUGAACAUCACUGAAAAUUUUGAUAAGGAUUCCAGAUUAAGGUGUUGUACAACCGGAAUACUGAAUAGAAAUAGAGAAAGAUAGGUAGAUACUAGAAGGAAAGAAAGAUAGGUGAAAAAACUACAAAAAGCAAUUUUUGGAUAAAGUAUUGAAAAAUUAUUUAAAUGAAGUACCGCUAUUAGUUUAUAAAUUUGUAUCUUUUAAUGUAGGUAUCUAUGACAUGAAUAAAUUAUAUUAAUAUUAAUACCAAUUGUAAAAUUGAAAUAAAAAACAUAUCCAAAAGAGAAAGAGAAAUGGAUUGGAAUUCUAGGACUCCAGGGGUUUAGGUAGGACCCACUUAGCGGAUACCGGGUGAAUGUAAGGGGACAUUAGUUCACUUGGACUUUUAUAAAAUCGUGCCCAUUAUUGAUUUUGCAGUUGACCAUAAUUAUCUUGUAGUUGUCCACAUACAUCUUGCUGUAGACCUGCGCUUUGCAUGGGUAUCCGAUACCGUUUCCUACGUCUAUACUUUUAUCUUAUUACCGUAACCGUAUUCGUCGGUAUACAAUGCAGUGGUAUCAUUUGAGGGAUUCAGAUUAAAAUUACUUAGCAAUAUUUUUUUAAAUGUAUGUUUGACCGCCGUCGAUAAAAUGUUAAUCACACGAAAGCUAACAUUGAAAUAUCGUCUUCAUUUGAUGAAAUGAAAUCUUAAAAAAAAGGAAACACGACUUCACUCAACAAUAGACC